CCUACGGGUGGCAGCAGUGAGGAAUAUUGGUCAAUGGGCGCGAGCCUGAACCAGCAAAGCAGCGUGAAGGAUGAAUGCCCUACGGGUUGUAAACUUCUUUUAUAAAGGAAUAAAGUAAGGCACGUGUCCCUUUUUGUAUGUACUUUAUGAAUAAGGAUCGGCUAACUCCGUGCCAGCAGCCGCGGUAAUACGGAGGAUCCGAGCGUUGUCCGGAUUUAUUGGGUUUAAAGGGAGCGGAGAUGGGUUGUUAAGUCAGUUGUGAAGGUUUGCGGCUCAACCGUAAAAUUGCAUUUGAUACUGGCAGACUUGAGUGCAGUAGAGGUAGGCGGAAUUCGUGGUGUAGCGGUGAAAUGCUUAGAUAUCACGAAGAACUCCGAUGGCGAAGGCAGCUUACUAAACUGCCACUGACAUUGAUGCUCGAAAGUGUGGGUAGCAAACAGGAUUAGAUACCCCUGUAGUC
rnacentral:rRNA from 1 species